CUGUAUUACUGUAGUGCUCCACGAUGCAGGAGCUAUAUAUGUGUGAAUGGGAGCUGCUUUGUCGUGAAAACUUGGAACUGGUGAAGGAGCAGGGCAGCGGGGCAGUUUGGAGUGGUGCAGCUAGGCAUGUGGAAGGCUCAACGUGAAAUGUGUUAGACGAUCAGUACACCUGUUCUCCGGGUAACAGGUUUCCUAUGAAGUGGUCAGCCCCUGAGGUUUUGAACUACAAUCAAUGUAGCAGCUGUCUCGAACCCUGCCGAGGCCGGCUGUUACCAUUGCGGCUAACCAACUCUAAAGAAUUUUUUCUGAACCUCAUGACCUCACUCCUGAAUAUAUUAAGAGAAGUGUCCUGCCCACUUCCUCAGCCUAUAUCGUAGCAGACUCCCAGAGCUUCUGCCAGAGACGACGG
rnacentral:lncRNA from 1 species